AUACGGAGGGUGCAAGCGUUAUCCGGAAUUACUGGGUUUAAAGGGUGCGUAGGCGGUUUAAUAAGUCAGAAGUGAAGAGUCCGGGCUCAACCGGGGCCUUGCUUUUGAUACUGUUAGACUUGAAUUAGGCUGAGGUUAGCGGAAUGUGACAUGUAGCGGUGAAAUGCAUAGAUAUGUCAUAAAACACCAAUUGCGAAGGCAGCUAACUAGACCUUAAUUGACGCUGAGGCACGAAAGCGUGGGGAGCGAACAGGAUUAGAAACCCUAGUAGUCC
rnacentral:rRNA from 1 species